AAAUCUAAAGCUAAAAUAAAAAACGAAAUCAACUCGCCAACCAAAUCACCGUGAGACAGCUUCACCUCGCCAGCCAAAUCACCGUGAGACAGCUUCACCUCGCCAGCCACCGCGCAAUCGAAAAAGCUUUGCUCGCCAGCCACCGCGCGACAGCUUCUGAUCUGCUCACCAGCCACCACGCGACGGCUUCUGGUCUGCUCGCCAACCACUGCACAUCAUUUUCUGCUCUGCUCGCGCAGCCAGCCACCGUGCACCAGUAGGAGUAAUGUUGAUGCGAGAUUCCGGUUCUCCUCGUUCCACGACCAGGAUCUCUGCUCGAUCAACUUCACCACGACCAGGAGGUCUCCUAGUAAUGCUUCUUCUCCGGAUGUCCCUGCACAAACAGACAAGUCAGAGUACGCCGGUUGUUCCCCCGGCGCAAACCCUCCGACGCUCAAGUCAGAUAUGAAGGUUCAGGGAACGCUUGCCACAGGUCUUAUGGCUUUUUCGUGGUUUUUUUCUUCUAUCUCAAAAAUGCCAACCCUUUUACCUUCGUUGGCUACCUUUUUAUAGGCUUCCUCUGAAUCUCAGUCUUCCGCCCUUUUCCAGACGGUAUGGGACUCCAACUGCUGCGUUAUGGGCAAACGUGGGAUCUAGCGUGUUACGCCACGGUUCAGGGGAAAGCGUGGCUGUCAUGGCUCUGUGAGACUUUGCGUGUUACGCCACGGUUCUGGGGAAAGCGUGGCUGUUGUGCCUAGAUUCUCGUGCUGGAGAGCACGUCUUGCCAACUGCCGUCGACCGGGUCUCCUCGCCUCUUGACCUCUAGCCGUAAUGGCCUUAUGCCUUUUAUAGGGAAUUGGCCUCGCGGAUGACAACAUCGUGGACGAGCAGGAUAUUUCUGCUCCUGUUCUUCCGCGCACCAGGCUUUUACGGAACACACCGGUUCGCAGAACUCUGCCAUCAGAUAUCUGCUCGUCAUUCCUGGUCUCGUCGACGUAUUUAUCCCAAACAGUGAGCCGAGCAGCAUCGGUCGGCUGGACCUCCUCGGGUGCAGGGGGGGUAUCACCAGUUGCGUCCGGGGGGGUGCUCGCCUCGCCAACAUCAGCAGGGACUGCACGAGGAGGAGAGUUUUCCUCCUCGAUCACGAUCGGCUCUACCCCCUCGGUAUCUUCCUUGGCCGCCUCCUCAUCCAUAUGCUGAGCAACACCAGCUGCAAGGUCAUCCAUCUUCAGGUCAGGGUGUUGCUUCCCGAGGACGGCCAUGAUGCAACGAUAGGAAUGCCGAAGUCCCUGGUCGUACUGGUUGUCGGCCUCCCUCUCCAAGUUCUCGACCUGAGCUCGGUGGUUCUCGAUCUGAGCUCGGUGGGAGUCGCGGAGAGAUUCGAGCUGAGCCUCAUACAUAGCCUUCUGCCUUUGCAGAUCCUCCUUGACCUUGGUAAGCUCCUCCUCAAGGGUAAUGGCUUUUGCUUGAGCAAGUGAUUCUUGCUCUAUCAGCUUCAGGUUCUCGAGAUUCAGCUCCCCUGCUUUCUUCUCGGCAGCGUCAGCUCUGGUCGUCGCCGACUGAAUGUCCCCCUUCAUCUUCCGGUCGUAGCGGCCCACCUUAGCCUUGUAAUAGGUGGUCAUGCAGCUGAGGUGGAAGGCGCUAUGCUGAAUGGCCCCCACCAGCUCACCCAAGGUGCGGCCAUCAAAGUCCUCCAGCUCCUCCUUGCUCACGAGUUUAGCUAACUCAUUGAGGUAAGGGACCAGAGGUUCUGCUCGGCUGUCAGGUAAGCGAGAUCGAGGCCGACAGGAGGAGAAGAGGUAGCGGGAUCUGUGGCUGCUCCACUAGCUUCCCCAACUUUUACAGGAGCAGGAGGUAAAAUAUUCAAGGGUAGGGCCUGCUGCACGAUGUUGGCCCGCUUUGCAGUAGGGGCAUCCUUACUCUCGUCCCUCUUCGUGGUUGGAGGUCGAGAACGUUUUCGGGUCAGAGCCGCCAUCACAGCGUCCUCCAUCCUAUGGCCAGGAAGUAUCAAGCGAGACUCGAGCAAGUUGUAUGUACUUAACAGUUCCCGGCUCGAGCAGGAAUUGGCCAGUACCGCCUCGACCCGUUUGAGCUGGUCAGGUCCGAGCGGGAAGUGGACACCCCAAGAAACUACAACACAAACAAGACACUUGGUUAGAAACAAGCCAAUAAAACAAGAACAAGUAUGGAUACAAGGCAUCUGAAGCAAGCAGGCAACCUGGGACCGUGAAACGGGGUGGGACCCGAUAAUCCCUCCCGUCCAUUUGUGCGACCUGACCCCACGGACCCCCAGCAAAAAAGAACUUUCUCUUCCAAUUCCCGCCACCACCAGUAGGGAGGUCGGUUAUAGGUUUCCUGCUCUUGGUGCUAGAUUGGAAGUAGUACCAGCCGGCAUCUUUGGGGCUGCUCUUUAGCUGGUACAUGUGCUUCACCUCAUCAACCGUGGGCUCGCUUUGGCAACAUCUGUCCCACAAAAUGAACAGACCAGAGAGCACUCUCCACCCAUUGGGAUUCAGCUGACCAGGAGCCAGAUUUAGCCCGUUAAGUAUCCGGGCAAAGUAAGGUUGCAAGGGACACCUCAGCCCGUACUUAAAGCUGUCCAGAUACAGGGUAACAUAUCCCCUAGGAGGGCGGCUGGGAGCAUCCUUCUUUCCUGGGACCUUGAGAAGUAUUUCACCAGGGAUGCUAUACCUCAGCCGGAGGUCCUCGAGCUCAUCAAACGUGGUCGUGCACGUCAUGUAAUCAAUAGCGUAGUCCCGCGAUAGGGCUCUACCUCCUAUUCUACUCCUCCCUUCUAGUCGCGGCGCUCCUGAUGGGGACGCCUCACCAGAAUCAUCCCCUUGACCCUCACUCAAGGUGUUCUCCGAUCCAGAAGAUCCUUCUUCAUCGCUACUGUCGCUCGAGGAGGUUGUUUGGGGAGACAUCCUCCUAGCGCUAGUACCAACACUAGACCUAAUGGGCUCUAAGGGGAUCCCGGGGUCAAAAGCGGGAUCAGCGAGCAGACUAGGUAGGAAGUCCAACUCGUCGUCAUCAACCUCAAUGACCUUCUCUUUGCCUUUCGACAUUCCCUAAACUCUAACCACAACGCCACCAACUACUACCCAAACGAAAGAAAAAAGAAGUUAUCUAUAAACUAUCCGAGACCGAGGAGAGAGAAGUAAUACCUGAAGCACUGCUCCAAUCGGAGAAAGGCAAGGAUGGGGCCUUUGCGCCGGAACUUCUUUGCCGGAGAAACAGAGACGGAGACGGAGUGAAUGGUGAAUAUGCCGUUCGAGAGGAUUCGGCUUUCCAAAUGAGGACGGACUCUUGGGUUGCCAGCAUAUAACUGCGCCGAAUCCCGAGGAAUCUCGUAACCGUCGGUUUGAAAUUCAAAUGGAGGGCGGGAUUUCUGCCACGUCACCUCGUCCGCAAUUAAAUGCGACAUGACUCUUGGCAGCCUUUUCCAAUCCCACGCGAGCGAGUACUAUCGAGUUUCUACUGCUGGUCCACUACAUUACCCAACACCAGAAACUGGGGGACCGAUGUUUGGGAGAGAUACUGUUUGGGAUAAAUACGUCGACGAGACCAGGAAUGACGAGCAGAUAUCUGAUGGCGGAGUUCUGCGAACCGGUGUGUUCCGUAAAAGCCUGGUGCGCGGAAGAACAGGAGCAGAAAUAUCCUGCUCGUCCACGAUGUUGUCAUCCGCGAGGCCAAUUCCCUAUAAAAGGCAUAAGGCCAUUCCGGCUAGAGGUCAAGAGGCGAGGAGACCCGGUCGACGGCAGUUGGCAAGACGUGCUCUCCAGCACGAGAAUCUAGGCACAACAGCCACGCUUUCCCCAGAACCGUGGCGUAACACGCAAGAUCUCACAGAACCAUGACAGCCACGCUUUCCCCAGAACCGUGGCGUAACACGCAAAGUCUCACAGAGCCAUGACAGCCACGCUUUCCCCUGAACCGUGGCGUAACACGCUAGAUCCCACGUUUGCCCAUAACGCAGCAGUUGGAGUCCCAUACCGUCUGGAAAAGGGCGGAAGACUGAGAUUCAGAGGAAGCCUAUAAAAAGGUAGCCAACGAAGGUAAAAGGGUUGGCAUUUUUGAGAUAGAAGAAAAAAACCACGAAAAAGCCAUAAGACCUGUGGCAAGCGUUCCCUGAACCUUCAUAUCUGACUUGAGCGUCGGAGGGUUUGCGCCGGGGGAACAACCGGCGUACUCUGACUUGUCUGUUUGUGCAGGGACAUCCGGAGAAGAAGCAUUACUAGGAGACCUCCUGGUCGUGGUGAAGUUGAUCGAGCAGAGAUCCUGGUCGUGGAACGAGGAGAACCGGAAUCUCGCAUCAACAAGUAAAGUCCUCGUUACUCCAUACACUUUAUUAUAACAUUUGCAUAAAUUGCAUUUAGUAAUGCAUUUAGUAAGUCCCCGUUAAAUGACUGUUAUUGCUUUAAUUUUUUAUAUAAUUUUUUUAAGUGAAAACACUUUUACAACAUGAUUAGAAUUAAAUAUUUUCAUAAAUCCAAAUCUAAUCCACUAGGAAAGAUAAUAACAAUUAAGAAUAUUAAGUUCCAUAAUAUGACUAUAUUUAGAUUUUAUUUUGAUAUUAUGAUUGUUAUAAUUUUGUAAGAUGGAGGUCAGUGUUGGUGAAGUACAAAAGGCUAAUAAUGAAGUGCAAAUGACAGUUGAUUAAUGUUGCUGACCAGUAAGUUUUCUUUAUUUUUUUAAAAAACUAAUAUCUUAUUUAUAUAGAUUGUUUAUUUAAUUAUUUAUUGUUUUAAUUUUUUUUUAUAAAUCCAAAUAUUGAGUUGGAAAAUGCCUAAAGUUAUGUUGAUAUUGAUGAAGAUGAGAGAAUGUUGUUGGCAUUUGUUUGUAAUUUUUUUUUUUUUUUUGUGAAGAUGGGAGAAUGUUGUUGGCGUUUGUUUCUAAAUUUUCUUUUUAUUUUGUGUUGUAAGUUGUAAUUGUUGUUAUUUUUAUUUAUCUUUACAACAUUAUGAUUAUGUUUAUGUAGAUGGA
rnacentral:lncRNA from 1 species